GAUCCGAACGUAUCAUUUUUGGUUUAUCUUGAUAUUGUGUUUUAGUCAUUUCUAUGAAAUUCUUUAGAUACGAGGUCGCUUCUGACUUGUACUGCAUGAGGUAUAUCUCAGUGUAUCUGGAAUAGUCAUCAAUUAGUGUUAAAAUGUAUUUUUUGUUACCCGGCGGUUAUUUCCUUUAUUAGAGAUACAUUCAUCAAAGAGCUUUCCAGUACGGUGAAUAACUUUGUCGCCUGCAUCGCAGAGGUGAUUUCUUACCGGAGUAGACAGACCUGACAAACAGAUUGCAGUUUUGACAUAGAACUUCAUCACCUGUAUCGAAGGAAUUUUUUCCUCCGCAGGCGAUGAGUUGCACUGCGAGGAUUCGAUUCUUGCCCAGUCUUGGUAUUGGCUGUCAAACAGAUCAACGUGGGAUAGUUCUUUGUGAGUAGCACCCACUGAAAUAGAGAUAUACUGGAACGCUUACUCUCGUGGUGGGGGGAAGCAAAUUCGCUCGCAGAGAGAGAUAGCUCAACAGGGGAUCUCUGUCCUUUUCUUCACAGUCCCAACCAAAUGCAUGUCCUCGUAAACAAAACGCAUAACCUGUGGAGGUGAAAUGCGUGAGGUGAUAUUGUGGUUAGUUCUCUUGCAUAGUGUGGUUAGUUCUCUUGAUUAGUGUGAAUUAUACUUUGUAAACAUGGUUAAGAACUGUCGCAUAAAAUCGUGCAAAGUGGUUUGGUCCCCCAAUCAAAAUACAUCAUUCUUUGCGUAAAUAAUAUAAUCAUUUAUUACGAAGUGCGUAGCUCCUAGCCUAUAAGUUUAAUUGUCGAAUACAUCGAAAAUUAAAUAAUUUUGGCUUUAGCCUUCCACCCGACGGUACUGAAUUGAGACGAAAAUGGAUCGAUGCAGCACGUGGGUUGAAAACAUUAUCCACAAGUUCAUUUGUGUGUAGCAAUCAUUUUUUGCCGAAAGAUUAUGCUAAUUGGACUCAGUAUGGUCGUAAAAAAAUAUUAAAAAAGAUGCAGCACCCAGCAUUUUUGAUCCUGUACCCCCCAAUGCUUAUGACAAGAUUCUCGAUAAAAUCGACAAUGCAGUAGAAAGCUUCUCCCCAGAAAAAGAUUCAAGUACUCGUACAGUAAAUGUGGAGCGAGAUAGAAAAGCAAGUGAUAUUGCUACACCAAAAUCCUCCCGGAAGUGUGAAGAUAGAGGUGCUGAACGGCCUGUAAAGAAAUUUUGCAGUAUUGCUGUGCAAACCUGUCCAAGCCUCAGUGGGCCGAGCGAGCGAGAAAAAGAUUUACAGAAAAAAAUAAAAAUAUUGCAAGAUCGUUUGAGACUAAAAGAAAAAAGAAUCACCAAGGUUACAGACAUGAUUACUCACCUUAAAAAAGCAGGUAGAUGUCCGGAUAAUUUAGAAAACAUACUUUUCAAACAAUUCACUGAGUUCGAUUUACAACUUUUCCGAAACGAACAAAAUAACAAUACAAGAAGUCUAACACUUAUUAUAAGAAUAAAUAACAAAAAAAAAUUGUGUAUAGAUAAAAUUGUUGAGAUAAUGUAUAAAUUAAGAGUUUAUUAAUAAAUCGUAAUAAAAAUAAUAAAUAUGACUUUACUCAAACACUUAAAAUUUAAACGAUGCCAAUAGGGCGUACAUAAAAAAAAUGACAUGAAAAUAUGAUAAUAAAAGAAUAAAUAGGAGUACGAAUUUAUAGCAUAAGACAAAGAUCAAAAGAAUCAGUCAAUAAAAGAAUAAUAAAUACAGGUUAAAUAACUAAAAGACAACACAAGAAUGCGAUGUAAGAAUGAAAAUGAAAAAUGAUUAGUAAAAUUGCGUAAAGUUGAUGAUAUUGUGACCGUUAAAAUGGCGUUGUCGAUCCUCAGGUGUGUAUCAGCUAGAAUCACCCUCCUUUUUCUGGACUUCAGGUCGUAUAUAGAUGAGUUUAGUCCAUGAGAUGAAAAUGCCCGCUCCAGGUCGGAAAUAUGCUCCAAAUAUUCAGGUUUUUCUUUUUUUAUAUAAAUGUAAAGAUGACGAAGGUGAGGGGAGUCCGUUUGACAUGUAUCAAUGAGUCAGGUAUAGAUAACUGAUAUUGAGGUGAUCACCGAUAUCGAUAAAGUGUCCUAAAUUAUGCUCCCUCUUGCCUCAUACCUCUUAUUUCUCCCACUCUUCGCUCCCUAAUCCUCACUUCCCCUUCCAACAUCCUAUCGAUCAUCUGAUGAUUCGUUACA